CCACGCCGUAAACGAUGGAUACUAGCUGUUGGAGGUAUUGACCCCUUCAGUAGCGAAGCUAACGCGUUAAGUAUCCCGCCUGUGGAGUACGGCCGCAAGGCUAAAACAUAAAGGAAUUGACGGGGACCCGCACAAGCGGUGGAUUAUGUUCUUUAAUUCGAUGAUAACCGAAGAACCUUACCAGGGCUUGACAUCCAGGGAAGGUCUGCGAAAGUAGACUGUGCCUUUUGGAACCCUGUGACAGGUGAUGCAUGGCCGUCGUCAGCUCGUGUCGUGAGAUGUUAGGUUAAGUCCUUCAACGAGCGGCAACCCUUGUGAAUAGUUGUAUUUUUCUAUUCAGACUGCCCCGGUAACGGGGAGGAAGGAGGGGAUGAUGUCAGGUCAGUAUUUCCCUUACGUCCUGGGCUAGAAACGUAAUACAAUGGCUAGUACAAUGCGCAGCGAAGCCGCGAGGUGAAGCAAAUCGCAUCAAAGCUAGUCCCAGUUCGGAUUGUAGGCUGAAACUCGCUUGCAUGAAGUCGGAGUCGCUAGUAAUCGCAAAUCAGCAAGUUGCGGUGAAUACGUUCCCGGGUCUUGUACACACCGCCCGUCAAACCAUGAAAGUGACCAACACCCGAAGUCCGAUUCGUCGGCCUAAGGUGGGGGGCAUGAUUGGGGUU
rnacentral:rRNA from 1 species